rnacentral:tRNA from 1 species
CAUUUAGUGUCCGAAUUAAUGGUAUAAGUCUUUUAAACUUAUUAUAGCAUAGCUCUAAAUGU